GCAUAUCAAUAAGCGGAGGAAAAGAAACUAACAAGGAUUCCCCUAGUAACUGCGAGUGAAGCGGGAAAAGCUCAAAUUUAAAAUCUGGCGGUCUUCGGCCGUCCGAGUUGUAGUCUGGAGAAGUGCUUUCCGCGCUGGACCGUGUAUAAGUCUCUUGGAACAGAGCGUCAUAGAGGGUGAGAAUCCCGUCUUUGACACGGACUACCAGUGCUUUGUGAUGCGCUCUCAAAGAGUCGAGUUGUUUGGGAAUGCAGCUCAAAAUGGGUGGUGAAUUCCAUCUAAAGCUAAAUAUUGGCGAGAGACCGAUAGCGAACAAGUACCGUGAGGGAAAGAUGAAAAGCACUUUGGAAAGAGAGUUAAACAGUACGUGAAAUUGCUGAAAGGGAAACGCUUGAAGUCAGUCGCGUCGUCCGGAACUCAGCCUUGCUUUCGCUUGGUGCACUUUCCGGAUGACGGGUCAGCAUCGAUUUUGACCGUCGGAAAAGGGCUGGAGUAAUGUGGCACCUCCGGGUGUGUUAUAGACUCUAGUCGCAUACGGCGGUUGGGAUCGAGGAACGCAGCGCGCCGCAAGGCAGGGGUUCGCCCACUUUCGCGCUUAGGAUGCUGGCAUAAUGGCUUUAAACGACCCGUCUUGAAACACGGACCAAGGAGUCUAACAUACCUGCGAGUGUUUGGGUGGAAAACCCGAGCGCGUAAUGAAAGUGAAAGUUGAGACCUCUGUCGUGGAGGGCAUCGACGCCCGGACCUGACGUUCUCUGAAGGAUCCGCGGUAGAGCAUGUAUGUUGGGACCCGAAAGAUGGUGAACUAUGCCUGAAUAGGGUGAAGCCAGAGGAAACUCUGGUGGAGGCUCGUAGCGAUUCUGACGUGCAAAUCGAUCGUCAAAUUUGGGUAUAGGGGCGAAAGACUAAUCGAACCAUC
rnacentral:rRNA from 1 species